UACGUAGGGUGCAAGCGUUAAUCGGAAUUACUGGGCGUAAAGCGUGCGCAGGCGGCUUUGCAAGACAGAUGUGAAAUCCCCGGGCUCAACCCUGGGAACUGCAUUUGUGACUGCAUGGCUGGAGUGCGGCAGAGGGGGAUGGAAUUCCGCGUGUAGCAGUGAAAUGCGUAGAUAUGCGGAGGAACACCGAUGGCGAAGGCAAUCCCCUGGGCCUGCACUGACGCUCAUGCACGAAAGCGUGGGGAGCAAACAGG
rnacentral:rRNA from 1 species